UCUUGGUACUUUUCAAUAUUAGGAUUUUUCCAUUGAUAUUGUUUAUUGAUAUUACUUUCAACAGAGUGACCGUGAGACUGUUUCACAGAAGGAUGUGUGUUUACCCAAGGCUACACCUCAAAAAGAAUUCCAUACGCUAAGUGGAAAAUUAGAAGAUCAGAUGAUCCCAUCAGAAACCAAACAAAAGGAAGAGGAAGAAAAUUCUUGGGAUUUAGAGAGUGACCGUGAGACUGUUUCACAGAAGGAUGUGUGUUUACCCAAGGCUACACCUCAAAAAGAAUUCCGUACGAUAAGUGGAAAAUUAGAAGAUCAGAUGAUCCCAUCAGAAUCCAAACAAAAGGACGAGGAAGAAAAUUCUUGGGAUCUAGAGAGUGACCGUGAGACUGCUUCACAGAAGGAUGUGUGUUUACCCAAGGCUACGCCUCAAGAAGAAUUCCACACGAUAAGUGGAAAAUUAGAAGAUCAGAUGAUCCCAUCAGAAUCCAAACAAAAGGAUGAAGAAGAAAAUUCUUGGGAUUUAGAGGUACUAUAUAUUAUCAGUGUUUUUUUAAUAUUAGAAUUGCAUGAUACGAAAACAUAAAAUCAGAGGGUUAGACUUUAUCUUCUCACCUCUGCAUAUGUCACCCUAAAUUAUUUUUGAUAGUUUUCAGGAUGCGCUUAAUAGAGAAUCUAUGUGCUAGGUAGAUUACUGCUUCAUUGUGAAAAUCUGCUAAUGUAUAGGAUUAAUUUAAGAAGCCAGCGUGGUAUAGUGGCUUAGAAGUCACUAGCAAUUCACAUGAGAUCUGAAGUACGUUUGUCUAAAAGCGAAAGAAUUACACUGAGUCCAGCUAUGGGCAAAUAUAUGAUUCUGUGGUAUAUCUAGAUGUACAAAAGUUCUAAAUGGCUUCAUAGAGAGAUAGUUUAAACUGCAGUAUUGUAAAAGCUGGGACGUGAAAAAUUAAUGGCUGGGACUUGAACGUAUUGACGUAUCUUUAUUGUUCAGUAUAGAGCUGAGGGAAC
rnacentral:lncRNA from 10 species